GAUGAACGCUGGCGGCGUGCCUAAUACAUGCAAGUCGAGCGAACGGACCAGAAGCUUGCUCCUCUGAUGUUAGCAGCGGACGGGUGAGUAACACGUGGAUAACCUACCUAUAAGACUGGGAUAACUUCGGGAAACCGGAGCUAAUACCGGAUAAUAUUUUGAACUGCAUGGUUCAAAAGUGAAAGACGGUCUUGCUGUCACUUAUAGACGGAUCCGCGCUGUAUUAGCUAGUUGGUAAGGUAACGGCUUACCAGGGCAACGAUGGAUAGCCGACCUGAGAGCGUGAAGGCGCCCACUGAGAGUGAGCCACGGUCCUGAGACUGACAGGAGGCAGCAGUAGCGAAUCUUGCGAGAUGGGCGGAAGCUUGACGGAUCGGCGCCACGUGAAUGAUGAAGGUCUUCGGAUCGGAAAACUCUCUUAGUAGGGAAGAACGUAUGUGUAAGUAACGGAGCACUUCGUGACGGUACUGAAUCAGAAAGCCACGGCUAACUACGUG
rnacentral:rRNA from 1 species